rnacentral:tRNA from 2 species
GGACCCGUGGCUCAGCCAGGACAGAGCGAAGGCCUGCGGAGCCUUAGGUCCCGGGUUCAAAUCCCGGCGGGUCCGCCU